AACGAACGCUGGCGGCAGGCUUAACACAUGCAAGUCGAACGAGAUCUUCGGAUCUAGCGGCAGACGGGUGAGGAACACGUGGGAACAUCCCUUUCAGUUCGGAAUAACGUUGGGAAACUAACGCUAAUACAGGAUACGUCCUUCGGGAGAAAGAUUUAUCGCUGAAAGAUUGGCCCGCGUCUGAUUAGCUAGUUGGUGAGGUAAUGGCUCACAAAGGCUACGAUCAGUAGCUGAUCUGAGAAGAUGAUCAGCCAAAUUGGGACUGAGACACGGCCCAAACUCCUACGGGAGGCAGCAGUGGGGAAUAUUGGACAAUGGGCGCAAGCCUGAUCCAGCCAUGCCGCGUGAGUGAUAACGGCCUUCGGGUUGUAAAGCUCUUUUGUCCGGGAAGAUAAUGACUGUACCGGAAGAAUAAGCCCCGGCAAACUUCGUGCCAGCCGCCGCCGUAA
rnacentral:rRNA from 1 species